rnacentral:SRP_RNA from 13 species
GCCGGGUGCGGUGGCAUGUGCCUGUAAUCCAAGUCACUGGGAGGCUGAGGUUGGUGGAUCAAGUGAGCUGAGGAGCUCUGGGCUGCAGCACGCUAUGUCGAACGGGUGUCCACGCUAAGUUCGGUAUCAAUAUGGUGUUCCUGGGGGAGCCCGGGACCACCAGGUUGUCUAAGGAGGGGUGAACCGGCCCAGGUCGGAAACGAAGCAGGUCAAAUCCCCCGUGCUGUCCAGUAGUGGGAUAAUACCUGUGAGUAGAUGCUGCAGUGCAGCCUUGGCAAAACAUCGAGACCUAAUCUUUU